rnacentral:rRNA from 1 species
GUGCCAGCCGCCGCGGUAAGACGAACUGUGCGAACGUUAUUCGGAAUCACUGGGCUUACAGGGUGCGUAGGCGGCUUGUUAAGUAGGGUGUGAAAUCCCCCGGCCCAACCGGGGAAUUGCGCUCUAAACUAGCAGGCUUGAGUGAGCUAGGGGUGCACGGAACUUCCAGUGGAGCGGUGAAAUGUGUUGAUAUUGGAAGGAACACCGGAGGCGAAAGCGGUGCACUGGGGCUUAACUGACGCUGAGGCACGAAAGCCAGGGGAGCGAACGGGAUUAGAAACCCCCGUAGUCC